rnacentral:rRNA from 1 species
UUGGAGGGCAAGUCUGGUGCCAGCAGCCGCGGUAAUUCCAGCUCCAAUAGCGUAUAUUAAAGUUGUUGCAGUUAAAAAGCUCGUAGUUGAAUUUCGGGAUCAAUUUGUUGGUCGUGCCUCGGUACGUACUGGUAUUAUUGGUUUCUACCUUCUGAAGAACCUUGAUGUCAUUAAUUUGGUGUCUUGGGGAAUCAGGACUGUUACUUUGAAAAAAUUAGAGUGUUUAAAGCAAGCAUACGCUUGAAUACAUUAGCAUGGAAUAAUGAAAUAGGACGUUUGAUUCUAUUUUGUUGGUUUCUAGGAUCGACGUAAUGAUUAAUAGGGAUAGUUGGGGGCAUUAGUAUUCAAUUGUCAGAGGUGAAAUUCUUGGAUUUAUUGAAGACUAACUACUGCGAAAGCAUUUGCCAAGGAUGUUUUCAUUAAUCAAGAACGAAAGUUAGGGGAUCGAAGACGAUCAGAUACCGUCGUAGUCUUAACCAUAAACUAUGCCGACUAGGGAUCGGAUGAUGUUAAUUUUUUAAUGACUCAUUCGGCGCCUUACGGGAAAC